CCUACGGGGGGCUGCAGUGAGGAAUAUUGGUCAAUGGGCGGGAGCCUGAACCAGCCAAGCCGCGUGAGGGAAGAAGGUACAGCGUAUCGUAAACCUCUUUUGUCAGGGAACAAAGGCGGGGACUAGUCCCCGGAUGAGGGUACCUGAAGAAAAAGCAUCGGCUAACUCCGUGCCAGCAGCCGCGGUAAUACGGAGGAUCCGAGCGUUAUCCGGAUUUAUUGGGUUUAAAGGGAGCGUAGGUGGAUUGUUAAGUCCGUUGUGAAAGUUUGCGGCUCAACCGUAAAAUUGCAGUUGAAACUGGCAGUCGUGAGCACAGUAGAGGUGGGCGGAAUUCGUGGUGUAGCGGUGAAAUGCUUAGAUAGCACGAAGAACUCCGAUUGCGAAGGCAGUUCACUGGACUGCAACUGACACUGAGGCUCGAAAGUGUGGGUAUCAAACAGGAUUAGAGACCCCUGUAGUC
rnacentral:rRNA from 1 species